rnacentral:rRNA from 1 species
CCUACGGGUGGCAGCAGUGAGGAAUAUUGGUCAAUGGGCGCGAGCCUGAACCCGCCAAGUAGCGUGAAGGAUGACUGCCCUACGGGUUGUCAACUUCUUUUAUAAAGGAAUAAAGUGAGGCAAGUGUGCCUUUUUGUAUGUACUUUAUGAAUAAGGAUCGGCUAACUCCGUGCCAGCAGCCGCGGUAAUACGGAGGAUCCGGGGGUUGUCCGGAUUUAUUGGGUUUUAAGGGAGCGUAGGCCGGUCUUUAAGCGUGCCGUGAAAUUUUGUGGCUCAACCAUGAGAGUGAGGCGCGAACUGGAGACCUUGAGUGCGCGGAAGGCAGGCGGAAUUCGUGGUGUAGCGGUGAAAUGCUUAGAUAUCACGAAGAACUCCGAUGGCGAAGGCAGCUUACUAAACUGCCACUGACAUUGAGGCGCGAAAGUGUGGGUAUCAAACAGGAUUAGAUACCCUAGUAGUC